rnacentral:misc_RNA from 1 species
AAGGAUCAUUGUCGUGACCCUUAAACAAAACAGACCGCGAACGCGUCUCUCGUGCCGCCGGGCCUCGGCCCGGCACAAGGCCCCCGAGCUCAGGCGAAGGGGCCGCAACAGAACCCACGGCGCCUCAGGCGUCAAGGAACACUUAUAUUGCCUUGCCCGGCGGAGCGGCAGGCCUGCCUUCCGCUCCUCGCGCAGCGAUCGUAUCUUAACCAACACGACUCUCGGCAACGGAUAUCUCGGCUCUC